AGCGUGUAGCCGUAAGGCAACCUGACCACGAUGCAGAAGUCAGCAGACGGCAUAGUAGAUCAGGCAGUCGGUGAGGUUCGUGAGGCACUCCAAGGUC
rfam:Candidatus Entotheonella sp. TSY2 genomic scaffold TSY2_scaffold00290, whole genome shotgun sequence.